ensembl:misc_RNA Metazoa_SRP Metazoan signal recognition particle RNA
GCUGGGCGUGGUGGCGCGUGCCUGCAGUCCCAGCUACUCGGGAGGCUGAGGCUGGAGGAUCGCUUGAGCCCAGGAGUUCUGGGCUGUAAUGCACUAUGCCAAUCGGGUCUCUGCACUAAGUUUGACAUCAAUAUGGUGACCUCCCGGGUGUGGGGGACCACCAGGUCACCUAAGGAGGGGUGAACUGGCCCAGGUCAAAACUCCUGUGCAGUGGGAUCAAGCCUGUGAAUAGCCACUGCCCUCCAGCCUGGGCAACAUAACGAGACCCCAUCUCUA